GUAACACCCCUAACCCGUAUCCGCUGACAGAACAGGGUUUCGGAGCAUUACUACCAUUUACAGAUCACUAAAAAAAAUUUAAAUACUUACCGAUUCAAUGCAUCAUAUAAAUAAAUAUAUUACCAUUCAAUCAACAGUUUGACAGUUGUAUAAGCAUCAAACAGCAACAUUGUUAGUAUACUUGCACAUAUCUCAUAUAAAUUCAACACUGAUAUAUCUAUUUUCUCGACAUAUCGCAC
rnacentral:lncRNA from 1 species